AAAAACAGAGAAAAACGAGAACAACACUAACAUAAAUAAAGCGAGGGUUGCCAUGAUCCGUAGUGAAUUUGAAUUUUCGCGCGACACGAGCGCCAUCUCGGCAUCACCCGGUGCGAGAAAAAUUCACCGGGGGCUGGGCAACUCGAAAACCGGCUGAAAAAGUCAUGGACCCCUCACAAAAGCUUCAAACCCUGGGUCUGCCAUUGCGAUUGCCUGGCCCUCACCAGAAAUGUGUUCCGCCGCCAUUGAGGGGUAAGAGGUGGCAGGUGCGUUAGCCGUCCGCAUCCUCCGCCGGGGGCAGCACAGGAGCGAUCGCGCGACCUACCCGUGAACAAUCUCCCAACUCAUCUCCGAUUCUGAACACGAAGUGGCGCUCUAAAGAAACCUGAAUUCAUUGCCUGCAUUUGGUGGCUGUGAGAUGUGUUGACGAAAAGUAACGAAAAGGUUCGUGAGUGGUAUUUCCUGAGUGUCCUGGUGUUUAAAAGCCCCGAGGAAGUUUCCACGACCAUGUCGGACUCCGAGGCGAGCAAUUUUUCGGAGAACGAGAGCGAGCAUCGUGGUGGCAGCGAUAGCGAACCUGAGGAAAAUCGAUCGGGGAAAUCGGUGCUCGGAAGCGACGUAGGAAGUGGCCCCAGGUCUCGUACGGUUUCUCCGAGCAGAAGUCACUCCAGGUCGAGAUCCCGAUCUCCUUCCAGGUCGAGGUCGCGGUCGAGGUCUCGUUCGAGGUCACGGUCCCCAUCAGGGUCGGAGGAUGGCAAAGGAUUUGAAGCUGAAGAGGGCGAAGAAGAGGAGGUUCAGCCCGAAGAAGAACCCGAGGGUGAAGAUUUGGAUGGCAGCAGUGAGUAUGACGAGGAAGAGGAAGAAGAUGACGACAGACCGCGCAAGAAGAAGAAGAAGGACAGGUUCGGAGGGUUUAUUAUUGACGAAGCUGAAGUCGAUGACGAAGUAGAAGAUGACGAGGAGUGGGAAGAAGGAGCACAAGAGAUCGGGAUUGUUGGGAACGAAGUGGACGAACUUGGACCAACUGCUCGAGAGAUUGAAGGAAGAAGGCGUGGUACUAAUCUGUGGGAUUCGCAGAAGGAAGAUGAGAUCGAAGAGUAUCUCAGAAAGAAAUAUGCCGAUGAGUCGGUGGCUGCUCGCCAUUUUGGCGAUGGUGGAGAAGAAAUGAGCGAUGAGAUAACACAGCAGACUUUACUACCAGGAGUAAAAGACCCAAAUCUUUGGAUGGUAAAAUGUCGUAUCGGAGAGGAAAAGGCCACCGUCCUUCUGCUUAUGAGAAAAUUUAUCACUUACCAAUUUUCUGCCGAACCACUGCAGAUAAAAUCCGUCGUAGUUCCAGAGGGAGUAAAGGGUUACAUUUACAUAGAGGCUUAUAAACAGCCGCAUGUAAAAGCUAUGAUAGAAAAUGUAGGAAACUUGAGAAUGGGCAUCUGGAAACAGCAAAUGGUGCCCAUAAAAGAAAUGACUGAUGUUUUAAGGGUCGUAAAGGAGCAAACUGGUCUGAAAGCGAAGCAGUGGGUCAGGCUCAAAAGGGGAAUUUAUAAAGAUGACAUAGCCCAAGUAGAUUACGUUGACUUGGCGCAAAAUCAAGUUCACUUGAAGUUGCUCCCACGAAUCGACUAUACAAGGCCUCGAGGAGCUCUGAGAACAGCCCAAAGUGAAUCGGAGGCACUGAAGCGAAAGAAAAAGAGAAGACCACCUGCAAAACCCUUCGACCCGGAGGCCAUUCGAGCCAUCGGUGGAGAAGUAACCAGCGACGGUGACUUCCUCAUCUUCGAGGGGAAUAGAUACAGUCGAAAGGGAUUUCUUUACAAGAAUUUCACGACCAGCGCGAUAAUCGCGGAAGGCGUGAAGCCUACGUUAUCUGAAUUGGAGAGAUUCGAAGAAGCACCCGAAGGCAUCGACAUAGAAUUAAGUGGGACCCCUUCGACUGGGGCUGCUAUUGGGAAAGAAGACCAGGCAGUGACACAUUCCUUCAGCAACGGGGACAACGUGGAGGUGUGCGAGGGUGAAUUGAUGAACCUCCAGGGGAAAAUCAUCUCCAUCGAUGGGAACAUGAUCAUGGUCAUGCCGAAGCAUGAGGAGCUAAAGGAAGCCCUGGAGUUCCAGGCAAACGAACUCAGGAAGUAUUUCACUAUGGGAGACCAUGUCAAGGUGGUAGCCGGUAGAUACGAGGGUGAUACCGGACUGAUAGUGAGAGUAGAGCAGAACCGAGUGGUUUUGUUCUCCGACUUAUCAAUGCACGAGUUAGAGGUCCUCCCGAGAGACUUGCAGCUCUGCUCCGACAUGGCGACCGGCGUCGACAGUCUAGGUCAAUUCCAGUGGGGCGACCUCGUGCAGCUCGACGCCCAAACCGUGGGCGUAAUUGUGCGCCUAGAGCGUGAGAAUUUCCACGUAUUGUCGAUGCACGGGAAGGUGGUCGAGGCUCGUCCCCAGGGCUUGACGAAACGCCGAGAAAAUCGGAACGCCGUAGCCUUGGACUGCCAGCAAAACCCCAUUCAGAAGAAGGACAUCGUCAAAGUCGUCGACGGGCCACACGCCGGCAGGGGCGGCGAGAUCAAGCACCUCUACAGGAGCUUCGCCUUCUUACAUUCUAGAAUGUAUGUCGACAAUGGCGGUAUAUUCGUCUGCAAGACCAGGCAUCUGCAACUCGCCGGCGGCAUCAAGACCGGGACCUUGGGCUCCAUGUCGCCGAUGGUCGGGAUCAUGUCCCCGAGGAUCGCCUCGCCCAUGCACCCCAGCGGAGGUGGAAUCGGACGAGGUGGAGGCGGAGGUCGAGGUCGAGGCAGAGGUGGAGGUGCGAGACGCGAUAGGGAACUGAUAGGCACCACGAUAAAGAUCACCGGAGGCCCCUACAAAGGAAACGUAGGCAUAGUGAAGGACGCCACGGAGACGACUGCCAGGGUGGAGUUGCACUCCACUUGCCAGACCAUCUCCGUGGACAGGUCGCAUAUCGCGAAUGUCGGAGUCCCCACCAAGGACGGGGGUUUUGGGAGUUACAGCAGAACUCCGGCGUACACUGCUGGAAACCAGACGCCCAUGUACGCGAGAGAUGGCUCGAAAACUCCGAUGCAUGGCUCGCAAACGCCCAUGUACGAGAAUGGUUCUCGUACUCCUCAUUACGGCUCGAUGACGCCUUCGCACGACGGCUCGCGGACUCCUGGCCAGUCCGGAGCCUGGGACCCUACCGUUACCAACACUCCUGCAAGGACCAACGACUUCGACGGCUACACCAUGGAGGAGGGGGGCUCUCCAGGAUACGUCCCAGGGUUUCCGGCCACCGGUGGACCGUUUACCCCGCAAACUCCGGGCACCAUGUACGGGUCGGAGCAGAGUUACAGUCCUUAUCAGCCGAGUCCUAGUCCUGCUGCUAGCGCGACCGCGAGUCCAAGUCCUGCAGGAUACGUGGCCACGCCGUCUCCCUCGGGGACCGGGUACACGACCAGCCCCCACGCGGCUUUCGCCACUCCCUCUCCGAUGGGGUACAGUCCCAUGACUCCAGGAGUCGCAGGGAGCCCGUACAAUCCCCAGACCCCGGGAGCCGGUCUCGACGCUAAUGUUGGAGGAUCCAGCUCGAUCGGGAACUCCGAGUGGCACACGACUGACAUAGAGGUGCGAAUUCGAGAUUCGCACUCGGAUCCGGCACUGGCGGGACAACAGGGAGUCAUUCGCGGGAUCUCCGGAGGCAUGUGCGCCGUAUUUCUGCCAGCUGAGGAUCGGGUCGUGAAUCUGGUCUGCGAACAGCUGGAGCCGGUGGUGCCAUCUAGAGGCGACCGCGUCAAGGUGGUCCUCGGGGAAGCGCGCGAAGCCGUAGGCACCCUGCUCUCGAUCGACAACCAGGAAGGCGUUAUCAAGCUCAACGGCGACGAGGUGACGAUGCUUCACCUGCGAUAUCUCUGUAAAAUGAAGGCGCCCUCCACAUAAGUACGGUAUCUAAGGGAAGAUGGCGGGUCGGCGUCUUUGGUUAUCAGACCGGCGGUCUAGGUGUUAAGCCCAUUGUACCGGUGAUAUCUCCUGCUCGGCCGGCGGACCAGGACCGACUGAUAACCGCUCCUUAUCGGGCUCUGACGUUGGAUUCCGACUGUAGAUUAGUUCACUAGGAAUUCCCAAUGUUAAGGUGAAGUGAAACCUCUCUUAAAUCGGUCGAUUCGACCGAUAAGAUCGUUUCUCACCGAAGUUAUUGGAGAAUGAUAUAUGGAGGUCGGUAACGUAGGUGUCUAGAAGAGUUCUCUUUACCGAUGUCGACUUCUCGACGGGCUUCACUUCACCUUAACUGCAUCGAGAUGUGCAGGCGGGUGUUGGUGUACAUGUCUAGAUAAAUUCAGGGACGUCUAGGUCGACUAGAUUGAUUGGGAAAAUCGGUUCCCGGUUUGCGCACUAGAUUGAGUCCCGCGCCAAGUACACGCGGUCGCGAGGACGUUCACGUCGUUAGGAGUUGAAAUGUUCGGGAACAUGUACGUCUUUUGUCGCUACUUCAGGAAUGGUACGUGGAAGUGGUGCGAGACUCAAAAUCCCGAGAUCUUGUGAAAUUAUUUUUAUAUGUUUCUCACGACAAGUAAGGCGGAAUUUAGAUGUUAAUUGUCGAUACGGAUAAAUAUACGAGAGUAAGGAGCUGAA
rnacentral:misc_RNA from 1 species